AACUUAUCCAGAGAGACUGAGGGACAGGCCCGAUGACGUCCAGCAACCUUCUAUAUAUGAAAGGUGCUAAUUCCUGCAGAAUGUUAUCAUUCUGAAAGAUAAGGU
rnacentral:ncRNA from 2 species